rnacentral:rRNA from 1 species
UUCCCCUAGUAACUGCGAGUGAAGCGGGAAAAGCUCAAAUUUAAAAGCUGGCAGUCUUUGGCUGUCCGCGUUGUAAUCUAGAGAAGUGUUACCCGCGUUGGACCGUGUACAAGUCUCCUGGAAUGGAGCGUCAUAGAGGGUGACAAUCCCGUCUUUGACACGGACUACCAAGGCAUUGUGGUGCGCUCUCAAAGAGUCGAGUUGUUUGGGAAUGCAGCUCAAAAUGGGUGGUAAAUUCCAUCUAAAGCUAAAUAUUGGCGAGAGACCGAUAGCGAACAAGUACCGUGAGGGAAAGAUGAAAAGAACUUUGGAAAGAGAGUUAAACAGUACGUGAAAUUGCUGAAAGGGAAACGCUUGAAGUCAGUCGCGUUGUCCAGAGAUCAACCUUGCUUUUGCUGGGCGUACUCUCUGGUUGACGGGCCAACAUCAGUUUUGAUCACUGGAAAAGGGCAGAGGAAAUGUGGCAUCUUCGGAUGUGUUAUAGUCCUCUGUCGUAUACAGUGGCUGGGACUGAGGAACUCAGCACGCCGCAAGGCCGGGAUUUAUCCACGUUCGUGCUUAGGAUGUUGGCAUAAUGGCUUUAAUCGACCCGUCUUGAAACACGGACCAAGGAGUCUAACAUACCUGCGAGUGUUUGGGUGGAAAACCCGAGCGCGCAAUGAAAGUGAAAGUUGAGAUCCCUGUCGUGGGGAGCAUCGACGCCCGGACCAGACCUUUUGUGACGGAUCUGCGGUAGAGCAUGUAUGUUGGGACCCGAAAGAUGGUGAACUAUGCCUGAAUAGGGUGAAGCCAGAGGAAACUCUGGUGGAGGCUCGUAGCGAUUCUGACGUGCAAAUCGAUCGUCAAAUUUGGGUAUAGGGGCGAAAGACU